rnacentral:rRNA from 1 species
UACAGAGGGUGCGAGCGUGUUCGGAAUUGAUUGGGCGUAAAGCGCUGGUAGGUGGCUUGGAAAGUCGCGUGUGAAAGCUUCCGGCUCAACCGGAAAAGUGCGCGCGAAACUGACGAGCUUGAGUGCCGGAGAGGGUCGCGGAAUUCCCGGUGUAGAGGUGAAAUUCGUAGAUAUCGGGAGGAACAUCAGUGGCGAAGGCGGCCAUCUGGGACAACACUGACGCUGAGGCACGAAAGCGUGGGGAGCAAACAGGG